GGGAAGUCACUGGAUGAUAUUGAAAUUGAAGAUGAGAUUGCGUUAAGUGACGCUGAAGAUAGUGGGAGCGAUUCUGAUAACGGCAACACAGAAGUCACAGCAUCAGAGUUUGGAACUGUGGAGCCUGUGGAUUUUGACUCUACAACCACAGAGCAAGACCAUGACAUUGGAGGCUUUGGAUCAGUGUCCUUUGUGUCGUCCACAGUAAAUGAGAGUGUACCUCCCUCUGAAGGGAAUUAUGCUGAUAAAGAACAUGGAUCCAGAAGAGUGGCAAAGAAAGUGUGGUCUAAGGCUGAGGUCGCUGCAGUAAUGCGACACUUCAAAGAUCAUAUAAG